GACGAACGCUGGCGGCGUGCUUAACACAUGCAAGUCGAACGGACAGGCCCUGCGUUUGUGGGGUGCUCGAGUGGCGAACGGGUGAGUAACACGUGAGUAACCUGCCCUUGACUUUGGGAUAACUUCAGGAAACUGGGGCUAAUACCGGAUAGGAGAUCCUGCUGCAUGGUGGGGGUUGGAAAGUUUCGGCGGUUGGGGAUGGACUCGCGGCUUAUCAGCUUGUUGGUGGGGUAGUGGCUUACCAAGGCUUUGACGGGUAGCCGGCCUGGGAGGGUGACCGGCCACAUUGGGACUGAGAGACGGCCCAGACUCCUACGGGAGGCAGCAGUGGGGAAUAUGGCACUAUGGGCGGAAGCCUGAUGCAGCAACGCCGCGUGCGGGAUGACGGCCUUCGGGGUGUAAACCGAUUUCGCCUGUGACGAAGCGUGAGUGACGGUAAUGGGUAAAGAAGCACCGGCUAACUACGUG
rnacentral:rRNA from 1 species